rnacentral:rRNA from 1 species
GAUGAACGCUGGCGGCGUGCCUAAUACAUGCAAGUCGAGCGAAUGGAUUAAGAGCUUGCUCUUAUGAAGUUAGCGGCGGACGGGUGAGUAACACGUGGGUAACCUGCCCAUAAGACUGGGAUAACUCCAGGAAACCGGGGCUAAUACCGGAUAACAUUUUGAACCGCAUGGUUCGAAACUGAAAGGCGGCUUCGGCUGUCACUUAUGGAUGGACCCGCGUCGCAUUAGCUAGUUGGUGAGGUAACGGCUCACCAAGGCAACGAUGCGUAGCCGACCUGAGGGGGUGAUCGGCCACACUGGGACUGAGACACGGCCCAGACUCCUACGGGAGGCAGCAGUAGGGAAUCUUCCGCAAUGGACGAAAGUCUGACGGAGCAACGCCGCGUGAGUGAUGAAGGCUUUCGGGUCGUAAAACUCUGUUGUUAGGGAAGAACAAGUGCUAGUUGAAUAAGCUGGCACCUUGACGGUACCUAACCAGAAAGCCACGGCUAACUACGUGCCAGCAGCCGCCGUAA